AUGAGCGGCGGCGGCAUGGACUCGUCGUCGUCGUCGUCCUCGGGCACGGGGGGCUCCGGCGCGGCGCCGUUCGUGGCCAAGACGUACGGGAUGGUGGACGACCGGGCGACCGACGCCGUCGUCGCGUGGGGGCCCGCCGGCAACAGCUUCGUGGUCGCCGACCCCUUCGCCUUCUCGCGCGCGCUGCUGCCGGCGCACUUCAAGCACGCAAACUUCUCCAGCUUCGUGCGGCAGCUCAACACCUACGGCUUCCGCAAGGUGGACCCGGACCGGUGGGAGUUCGCGCACGCCUCCUUCCUCCGCGGCCAGACCCACCUCCUCCCCCGCAUCGUCCGGCGCCAGAGCAGCAAGCGCGGCAAGGAUAGCAGGGAGGAGGAGGAGGAGGAGAGCAGCAGCGCGGCGCUGGCGAUGGAGGUGGUGCGGCUGAGGAAGGAGCAGAGGGCCACGGAGGAGCGCGUGGCGGAAAUGUGGCGCCGGGUGCAGGAGACGGAGCGCCGGCCCAAGCAGAUGCUCGCCUUCCUCCUCAAGGUGGUCGGCGACCCGGACGUGCUGCGCCGCCUCGCGGGCGGCCCAGGCUCGGGGGGCGGCCCGGACGAGGGCGCGGAGGAGGUCAAGAGGCCGCGGCUGCUGCUCGACGGGGACGGCGCGGGGGUGGACGGGGGGCUACUGUACCACCACAGCGGCAACCUGAUGAACCUGGGGGAGGCCCUGGUGCCGGAGGAGCCGAGCGUGGACAUGUACUACGCCGGAGGCGACGGGUUCGGCGGCGUGCAGGCGGACGGCGGGCCUCCGUACGCUUUCCACAUGGACACCGGCUACUGA
rnacentral:rRNA from 1 species